GGGGGCAGGGAAAGAAGGUUCCUGGAAGCUGGCAAGUGCUGGCCCCGUGGAAGAGGCCCUGAUGGGCAGGAUUUGCAGCCACGAAAGAAUCUGCUCCUGCCCAAACUAGACAGCGAGCAGUGAGGAACGAGUACCCCAGCCUCCUAGGCGUUUGUUCUGUGAUCAAGGAGCCACCUUUUGCUGGAGCCACCUUUGCUUGGUCACUGCUGUGCGAGAGGGCAGAGUAGCUGGGGUGAUGCCACAAAGGGCAGCCUCCCGCCUUCUGUCGGCAGAGGGGCAGAGAAGGCAGAGUGGAUUUGCAGAACUGACAGGGCAAACAAAACACAAUCACCUUCUUUCCUCUUUUCCUGCCCUGGUUUCCCCCAGUUACUUCUUCCUCAUUUUCACAGACUUCUCAAAAGUGAGCUCCCUCCACUUGCCCUCCUCCCCUGAUGCCUUAACUCAGUGACUCAGGCAUCUGCUUCCACUGCUGCUGGGAGAGGCGGUCUCUUCAGCAAGGUCACACGUUCCUAUGGCCAAACUCUAUUAGUUUUUCUAAGAGCGAUUCUUCUGAACUCCUGUUAAAAACCUGCUUCCUCUGUGGUUUCUAAUGGCUCUGCCCUCUGGCUUUUUCCUUCAAGCUCUCUCCUCAGUCACUUGUGUGGAAUCCUUUCUCGUUUCUCUCCUUCCUUUGCAUUUAGGUAUCAGCCAGUUUUUUUCUGUGAUAACUGCCUCGCAAACAACACCAGAAUCUUAGUGCCUUGCAGUCACUGAUCUGAAAAGACUGGUUUUAUAUCUCAGAGCAUCAUGGAUGGGGAGCUUUUCCCUGGAGUCAUGUUUUAGUUUUGUGGAUUUGUGUUACUUUUUUUUUUUUUCAUGCAAAUUCUGCUUUCUGUUUUAAUUUGCCUAGAGCCUGUCUUAAAGUCCUUCUUUGAAAAAAAAAUUUUUUUAAACUAUUCCUGGAAAGAAUUUUUUUUAAGUGAUCUUAAGAGUCUCGGGGCUGGGGGAACCUACUCUCUCAUGCCUCUAGAGAGCCCAGUAGUCUUUUCUCUCUUUAGAUCAGCUUCAAUGUUCAGAAAAUAAAAACACUAUUUUUCUAAUGUUGAUGCUUAGCAUUUGACAACUAAUCUAUAUUAUGUCUCAGCUGGGCCUCCAAAAGGAUCAAAAUUAUUAGUGUUUAGAAACAAAACAUAGCAUACAAAAGUACUUUUACAGUAUCCCCCCCCCCCAAGACCUGGCUUUCUGGUGGAUGCCAGAAACCACAGAUAGUACUGAAGCUUCUAGAUGCUGUUUUUCCCUAUGCCUACAUAGCCAGGCUCAGUAAGAGAGUAAUAAUAAAACUAAUAAAAUAAAAGGAUUAUAACAGUAUACUCUAAUACAAGUUAUAUGAAUGUAACUGUCUCUCUCUCAAAAUACCUGAUGUAUCUGCUCACCCUUCUUAUGAGGAUCUGAUAUAAAAUAUCUGUGUGAUGAAAUGAAGUAGAUGAAUGAUGGACAAAGCUUUGUGACAUAGCACCAGGCUCCUUCUGACUUUCUGGAGACAUCAAGAGAAAGAUCACCGGCUUUGGAUGAACAUGGCUCGUUGAGCAAUUUAAACCCUGUGAUUUGUUUCUUUCUAGAAUGUCCUGUGUAAUGCUUUCAAAAUGGGCUUGAUGUGGGUACCUGUUGCCAAAAUUUGGCUUCUGUCCACGUGCUGAAUUGAAAUGCAGAGACAGAGAUUUGAGUAAAGGAAACAAAAAAAAAAAGCUUUUAUUGCUUUGCCAGGCAGAGGAGGCUGCAGCAGGCUAAUGCCUUAAAGACUGAGCCUUCCAUUGGGAAGGGUCAAGGGAAGUUUUAUAGUAAAAGGGAGAACAGUGGGUUUCUGGAUGAGAAUCAGGAGUGAAGGCAAAAUGACAUUCUUCUUUCUUUGGGGGGACUCUUUAGUUAUCAAGGUUGGUGUCGUGCGAUCUCAUUGUGACCCCGGUGAUCUUCUGGGUUAUUGUGUCUGGAUCUUUCCUGGAAAUAAAAGUACUUGCUAGAAGGGCAUAUCGGUUAGUGAUUAGGGCCAUUGAGGAAGGUCCUCCAAAGAAACAUCAUGUGCUUAUAAUUUGUGACUCACAGGCAGUCGUGCCUAAUCUAUAGCUUACGGGUGAUUGUGUUUAAGGCGCAAUUAAGCUAGAGAGAAGGAGAAGGAAGACUCUAAGCUGUUCAGUUUUAAACUAGUCAUUUCUAAAAGAAGCAUAAAGAGGAGUUCCCGUCGUGGUGCAGUGGUUAACGAAUCCGACUAAGAACCAUGAGGUUGCGGGUUCGGUCCCUGCCCUUGCUCAGUGGGUUAAGGAUCUGGCGUUGCCGUGAGCUGUGGUGUAGGUUGCAGACGCGGCUCGGAUCCCGCGUUGCUGUGGCUCUGGUGUAGGAUGGUGGCUACAGCUCCGAUUCAACCCCUAGCCUGGGAACCUCCAUAUGCUGCGGGUGCGGCCCAAGAAAUAGCAAAAAGACAAAAAAAUAAAAUAAAAAAAAA
rnacentral:lncRNA from 1 species